UGGAGGGGUACCGGGUGUACGAGGCAGAGUCCGGUCGUUCUGAGAUUAUACUGUCAUAACUUGAUCUAGAUAAUACUAGCGAAAGGACAUGCGUGGCAUUGAUU
rnacentral:ncRNA from 14 species